rnacentral:rRNA from 1 species
AACUUAGCAUAUCAAUAAGCGGAGGAAAAGAAACUAACAAGGAUUCCCCUAGUAACUGCGAGUGAAGCGGGAAAAGCUCAAAUUUAAAAUCUGGCGGUCUCUGGCCGUCCGAGUUGUAAUCUAGAGAAGUAAUGCCCGUGCUGGACCGUGUAUAAGUCUCCUGGGAUGGGGCGUCAUAGAGGGUGAGAAUCCCGUCUUUGACACGGACUACCAGUGCAUUGUGGUAUGCUCUCAAAGAGUCGAGUUGUUUGGGAAUGCAGCUCAAAAUGGGUGGUAAAUUCCAUCUAAAGCUAAAUAUUGGCGAGAGACCGAUAGCGAACAAGUACCGUGAGGGAAAGAUGAAAAGAACUUUGGAAAGAGAGUUAAACAGUACGUGAAAUUGCUGAAAGGGAAACGCUUGAAGUCAGUCGCGUUGGCCGGGGAUCAGCCUUGCUUUUGCAUGGUGUACUUUCUGGUUGACGGGUCAGCAUCAAUUUUGACCGCUGGAAAAAGACCUGGGGAAUGUGGCAGCUUCGGCUGUGUUAUAGCCCCUAGUCGCAUACAGUGGUUGGGAUUGAGGAACUCAGCACGCCGCAAGGCCGGGUUUCGACCACGUUCGUGCUUAGGAUGCUGGCAUAAUGGCUUUAAGCGACCCGUCUUGAAACACGGACCAAGGAGUCUAACAUGCCUGCGAGUAUUUGGGUGGAAAACCCAAGUGCGUAAUGAAAGUGAAAGUUGAGAUCCCUGUCGUGGGGAGCAUCGACGCCCGGACCAGAACUUUUGGGACGGAUCCGCGGUGGAGCAUGUAUGUUGGGACCCGAAAGAUGGUGAACUAUGCCUGAAUAGGGUGAAGCCAGAGGAAACUCUGGUGGAGGCUCGUAGCGAUUCUGACGUGCAAAUCGAUCGUCAAAUUUGGGUAUAGGGGCGAAAGACUAAUCGAACCAUCUAGUAGCUGGUUCCUGCGAGU